GGAGUAUAAUUUUCAAUUCUUGUGGUUGUACAUGAUGUGGAAUUAUACUGGUUGUGUAUUCAUAUACGAACAUUGGAAAGUAAUGUCUGAUUCUUUCUACUAUCUCCUAUUUUUCUUAAUACAUUGUAAACAUUAAAGUCUCAGGCAUUCUGGUUAUUUGGAGCCUCAUAAUAAUCCUUCCAGCAGAAACUUAGCUGGUGUUAUAUAAUUAUUUCUCAUUUGAAUCUAAUACUUUUUCUCCAUCUUGCAAAGUCCUUUCAUGUGUCCUACUCAGUUACAGAAAAAUCAUAAAUACUUUGCCACACGUCACUGCUGCAAAUCACCGACGUGGGAUUCCUCUGCCUGUGUUUAUCUAUGUACUGUGUUGCUCCUGGAGGAUUGCCCGGAAUUAACUCUUCAAUAACCAGACAGGACCUUUCAGCCUCUGCUUCAGGAUUGAAAUCCGGUGAACAUCUUCAACUCUUCUCUGGAUCUGAGAGUUCACAUAAGAGAAAACAGAGUUUAUGUUCCAGGCAUACAAACUAUGGAACACCAAGUCCAUUUCCUACCCUGCUCAUCCAGCAAGGGAAAUAGGUCUGUAAGAAUAUUGUUGAAAAUUUAAAAAAGAGGACAUUGUUUACUGAUAUUAUUUCCUGAUCAUUUAUGUAAUAAUAUAUGUUAUAUUUCAAUUGCAC
rnacentral:lncRNA from 1 species